rnacentral:rRNA from 1 species
UCCACGCCGUAAACGAUGUCGACUAGCCGUUGGGAUCCUUGAGAUCUUAGUGGCGCAGCUAACGCGAUAAGUCGACCGCCUGGGGGAGUACGGCCGCAAGGUUAAAACUCAAAUGAAUUGACGGGGGCCCGCACAAGCGGUGGAGCAUGUGGUUUAAUUCGAAGCAACGCGAAGAACCUUACCUGGCCUUGACAUGUCCGGAA